rnacentral:rRNA from 1 species
GAUGAACGCUAGCGGCAGGCCUAACACAUGCAAGUCGAGGGGCAGCACAGAAACAGCAAUGUUUUGGUGGCGACCGGCGGACGGGUGCGUAACGCGUAUGCAACCUACCUUUAACAGGGGGAUAACGGAGAGAAAUUUCCACUAAUACCCCAUAACAUCGAUCAAGGCAUUUUGAUUGGUUGAAAACUCCGGUGGUUAAAGAUGGGCAUGCGUUGUAUUAGGUAGUUGGUGAGGUAAUGGCUCACCAAGCCUACGAUACAUAGGGGGACUGAGAGGUUAGCCCCCCACACUGGUACUGGGACACGGACCAGACUCCUACGGGAGGCAGCAGUGAGGAAUAUUGGUCAAUGGGGGCAACCCUGAACCAGCCAUGCCGCGUGCAGGAAGACGGCUAUAUGAGUUGUAAACUGCUUUUAAACAGGGAUAAAGCACAGUAUGUAUACUGUGUUGAAGGUACUGUAAGAAUAAGGAUCGGCUAACUCCGUGCCAGCAGCCGCCGUAA